rnacentral:misc_RNA from 1 species
CAACCCUCAAGCGCUGCUUGGUGUUGGGCCACGCCGCCCGCGGCCGGCCCCAAAGCCAGUGGCGGCGCCGCCGGGGCCCUGAGCGUAGUAGCAUACCCGCUCCAGGGCACGGCGGUCGCCAGCCUGAACCCCCUCGU